rnacentral:misc_RNA from 1 species
GUGGCUGGGCGCCAUGGCGAGCAGCAGGAAGCUGCACGGCGGCGCGAGGAGAGAAGCAGACGCGCGGCUGUGCGCGCAGAGAGGGAUCGAGCAGGGCCUCAGCUGGGGAAGGAGCGGCUAGGCGCGCCAUGGGAGUCCAGGGCGCGGCGAGCUGGGCCGGAGACGCGCACAGAGCAGGGCACGCGCGGUUGGAGAAGAGAGCGGCGUUGGAGAGAGAGCGCGGUGGCCAGGGAGCUUCACGGCCGCACGGUAGUUUUGAGUGCAGCGUCUUCUAUUGACCCCUGUUCCCACCAGAGAAAGCACCGGACCGGGGGUAGCUCUUUGGGUGGAGCAGAGGAAGGAGCCGAGGGAGCACGCAGAAGACGCCGAGAGGAGGGAGAUGAAGGAGCUCCGGCCAUGGAGCAGCGGCGCACGGCGAGGGAGAUCCACGAGGUGGGGAAGAAGACAUU